rnacentral:lncRNA from 1 species
CGAGAGGCCUUUCUUCUCUCUGUCUGCAGUGGGCCGUGGAGCAGCCUCAGGAGGCUCUGUCCCACGGGCAACACCACAGGAGAAUGGCUGCCUCCUCCCACACCCCCUUCUCUGCCAGCAAAAAGCCCCAAGGGUCUCGGGUGCCCUGCCAGCACCGAGGGGAACCCUGGGGUGUUACCCUGGGGUGAUGGGGGCUGAGCACAAGCCGUUCUCUCAGGGCGAGUGUUUAUUGCUCUCUGUUGCCUCCCAGCCCCCAGGGGCUUUCUGGCCGCUCACCCUCUGGCACCCAACUCCACACAACUGCACCACGGAACGGGUUUCCCACAAACGCAUCCCCAAAAGGCAUGUGCAUGAAUGCAAUUACAGGAGCAACAGCAGCCUGGAGAGAGGGACAGCCCUGUGGUGACCCCAGCGAGGGAAGAAAGGAAACAAGUUCAGUGGAGAUUAGCAGGCACUGAAUGCAGCACCCCGUCACCAAAUCUCCUGACCCCGCCCUACCUCCCUUUUCAUGCCCACCUACCCAUCUUUGGCCUCCCCCUCAUCCCUGAUCUUCAGCGCCUCCCUGUCUCUUCGCGGUGCCCGGCGGCCUCAUUGAGCUAGGUAAGCGGAAGGAAACAGAGAAAUGCGCCCUUGGCUGAGGACGAGAAUGUGCU